ACUCGUCUAUAGUGCCAUUUACACUUAUCAAUAAAUUGAUUCAACCAAGAGGUUCAAUCUUUCCUUCAACUUCAUCAAGAAACACAAUUUGAUGGAAAUAUUGCUAAAUGUAUUGCAUGCAUUUUUAUUGAGGAAAACAUGGAUGAUAAUGUUGAAUCUUGAUGUAAAUACUGACCAACCUGCAAAAGCGAGGAUUGAGGUUGGUGAUCAUAUCCUCAAUAUUUCCCCUCCGAAAGAUUGAUCCAACCACCACUAUCAUCCAGUUUGACCAAACCAUCAAGAUCAUCCAAGUUCGUCAAACUUUCCUCUCGACUUGUUUGAUUCGAUCAAUCCAGCAGUGCAAAAGAGUCAGCAGAUUGAGCGAAGACCAUUCCAUCAGUGAGGAAGAGAUAGCAAUUCACCAAUGUUCAGCGCGCGGUUCACGGCGUUCAUGGUGGCCAGUUCAAUUGAAUUUUAUGGAAUGCUUUGAAAGCAAAUUUCUAGAAAUAAAUUGUCACGUUUUUGCUUUGUAAAUAAAAUAAAGACUUGAUCAUUAGAAAAGUGAAAAUUUCGAUAUUUCGCUUGCUUAUUCAAUUCCAUUAAUGAUUAUGAAAAAAUAUUUUUUUGAUAGUUUUGGUCAUUUACCACGCCAUAUUCGAUUUUUUUUUGUAAGCAUUCAUAAACUCUUAUCUAUUGAACCCAAUCUCUCCGAUUAGCAUGAUGAAUUGUUAAAUAGUGGAUCUAUUUACUAAUUCAUCAUGUUAUUUUUCCUAAUGUCUUGAGAAGGUUAAUGUUUCUUACUUUCUAACACAAGAUAUGAACUUCUAUCGUUGAAUCAAAAUAUUUCAUACAAAAUGGAGCUUAAACAAUAAUUAUUAACAGUUAGGUUCGAACAAGUUUUGAUUUUUGCUAAAGUCAUAGUAAAUAUGUAAAGCAAAAUAGGUUUAGAAAACAAAGGCUGAUAAGAGGUUAAUGCCAUAUUGAUUUGUUUGUUUCGUCUAUAAUUUAAAAUGUUUGCUUUAUCCGUUAUUAUUAAUACAGGUUUCUCUAUAGCUAGAUUGGUAACUGAACGAUAAUUAAAUUAUAUGUCCUGAGAGUGGCUUUUGGUAUUUUUGGCAGUUUUUCUCUCUUUGCCAUGCCAUAAGGGGUUUUUGUCGUCCGAAUAGCUUGAAACACUUUGAUUGGCAAAGAUGUGACGCCAAGUUGAGGUUUAUCAGACUUUAGAUGACACCCCAUGACGAAGAGAACAAAUCUGUCGAAAAUAUACUGAGUUUUCCUAUAUAGUUCUAGCAUUUAUACUAAAGGCACUAGCAAACCGCAUAUGCGUUAGUGGAAAUAAAAGAUGUGAUAUAAAACAUGAUAAACCAAUGUUAAAUAUUAAACAUUAUUCCUAAAUAAUCUAAUGAAAAUUUACGAUGCGCAACUUACUUGAACUUGAAAAUAUUUAUUUGGCAGCGCUUUCUUGUUUCCUUUACCAUCAUUUCAUCAAUAAUUAUUUCUUUCUCAAGGAUUAUUGAUGAAAUCACGAGGAUCAAACCAAGUAUCAAUCCAAUAUCUUCGAUAUUGCCCCUUUCCAGAGAGAUGGAUCUAGCCGAGUUUUGAACAGAGAGAAAAUCUCCCGGCAGUAUGAGAGAAGGGAGAGAAGUUAAUGCAUAAAGAGAAAAAAAAAAACAAAGUGUCCGUGCAUGCUUAGCAUACGUGCACAGCUGACAAAGCAAAGCCUUUUAUUGAAUCAAUGCGUCGUCGGUGGGUGCGUGGUUGAUUUUCAGUCCUACCGAUCCCAAUGCCAAUAAUGCGGAAGACAAUGUAUACAAUGCAUUUCCGUCAAAUUUUGUUUUGUUUUUUUUUUUUAAAUAAAUGUGAAUGGAAAACAUUAUUUCUUCUUCUAAGCUUUACCAUUUUUACAUAUUCAAACAUAUUAUACAUAUUUUUUAUUACGAAAUAUUUUUGGACAGCCCAUGGGAUGGGACUUGAAAUACCUUCAGCGCCGUCUUGCUGAAUUACCUUUAUAUUUCGACAUUACACAAAAUUACUACUGAAGGGUGUUAUUUGUCAGAAGGGGGUAUUUCUAAUUUAUAGGCAACGCAAGUAAGCCACCAUGAUGUGCAAACUAUGAAUUAAUUUUGUAUCAGUAUUAACGAGAUUUUUAGCAUUAGGCUAGUUCAUCUCGGGACUCACGCUUUAUUUCCCUUACGAAGGAAGAACUCACACUUUGUAAAUUUGUCGGGAGUGGGAUUCGAUCCCAGGUCAUCGGCGUGAUAGUCACGUGAUUCAACCAUCACACCAGGUCCGCUCCACGAAUUAUUAAUUAACUGGUGUUAGAGACCGGCAGAGCACCAGUAUUUUUUUUUAGCAAAGUUCGGUGGGACACCAACCGACUUAUAAGAUUACACAAAAAAAGUUGUGAACUGUUUAUUACCACUAAUGCAUUGUAAUCGUUGGAUUCAUUACAUUUAAAUAAAAAGUCUUGGGGAAAAUACUUCUGCAUACAUUGUUUCUUUUGUUCGAUGAUUUAUUACAUCUGAAUUCAGUUUUCUUUUUUGUAUGUAUUAUACAUUUCAAUAGCUGUUUAUUUAACUUUAAAAAAAUAUAUAUGUAUGGCAACACUGCAGAAUGUUCUGCAAUGAUGAUGCUCUCGAUCACGCGCUGCUGCAUUGAAAGGAUGAUAGGUUGAUCUGGAGGGAAAAUAUUGAACCAAUCAAUUGAUCCAUGGAAUAAUUUGACCCAUGGUUUGAGCAAUCUUCGAGAGGAUUGAUGUAAAAUUUUUGGAGGUGGGGAAAUAUUGAAGAGAAACUUGAAGUAAAAUGCGCUAUGGAGGGGAAAUAUUGCUGCGUGGUUGAUCAAACAGAAGAUAGGGGAAAAGUUGAAUGAUUGAUAUCAAUCUAUUUUUGAACAAUAUCAUACCUUCAAUGUUUCCAUAAAACGGCCAACUAUUGAUCAAUAUAUGCAUCGUGUGACUGGCGCUUAUGGUUCGAAAGCUAUUUGUGUGACAGAGCCCAACGGACUGCUUUCAAUGACUCGAGCCCCGUGGCGAACAGCCUUGGCGUACCACAGGGGAGUGUAUUAAGGCCCGUUUUAUUCAUUAUGUACAUAAAUGACAUGCGGCGAGUCUUACGAUUUUGCGAUAUUAAUCUUUUUGCUGAUGAUACCGUUCUAUUCAUUGCAGCCAAAGAUUUAGGGGGAGCCGUUUCACAAAUGAAUGCAGAUUUACGUUCUUUGAGUAAAUGGUUGAAGUACAAACAGUUGAAAUUGAACAUAAGUAAAACUAAAUUCAUGGUAAUAUCGCGGAAUCGAGUAAAUUAUGAAGUCACCGUAGAAAUUGAUAGUGAGACAAUUGAUCGCGUGCGCGAAAUUAAAUAUCUUGGCGUGAUUAUUGAUGACAGACUAUAGUUUGACGCUCACAUCGACAAUGUCAUCAAGAAAAUAGCCAAAAGGUAUGGUAUUCUAUGUCGAUUAAAAAACGGUUUGACUAAUGCUAGUAAAAUACAGUUGUACAAAUCAAUCAUUUCUCCACACAUUGAGUUCUGUCCAUCCAUUUUCUUUUUAGCUAAUGAAACACAAAUAUCAAGGCUACAGCGUUUGCAAAAUAAAAUGAUGCGGUUGAUUUUAAGAUGUAACAGAUUCACUUCCUCAACUUUUUUGUUAGACGCCCUUCAGUGGCUGUCAGUGAAGCAAAGAAUUGUCUAUUUAACGUUGGUGUUCAUUUUUAAGUUAAAAAAUGGUAUGUUGCCUAGAUAUUUGUGUGAUCGAAUUGAAAGAGGAAGUGACAUUCUUAGUUAUAACACUAGAAACGCGGAUCAAAUACGAACACUAUACUUUUUGCAUGGUGCUUCACAAAAUUCCUUGUAUUAUAAAGGUAUAAAUGUUUUUAAUUCAAUGCCUGACCACAUCACGAAUGCAGUAACUCUAUCACAGUUUAAGAGACUAUGUAUUUCACACGUAAAAGCUGCUUUUUGAACAGCUACUCUGUUGACUUUUUAUUCUUGACUAGAUUUUGUAUCUUGACGAAGUUUACCAACGGAUAUUUUGUGUGGACAACUUAUAUUUUUGUAAUAGGAGGCACGAACAAACUAUAAUGAUCGCCCCGAUGAUGAUGAUGGAUUUUAUAUUUUUUGACGUAGUAUUUUUAACUGAAUUUAUUUUGUGUAGUCUACAAAAGUUUGAGUCUCGCGCGCGGUGACAGGUAUAAAUGACAUUUUUGUAUUUAUUUAUUAUGUGGAAUAUUUGUACUGUUGAAUGAUAUGUUUGGUAGAUUAGUAGUGAGUUAUCUUGUUGAAUGUCGGGAAUUUCUUGAGAAUGAGAAUAUUGCCGACUGUUUUGACAUCGCGCGAACGUUAUCAAUCCUCGCAAUAUUUUUGAUUUUCUGAUCUUUCAUGAUCACUAGUAACGCUUGCAAACAUCUGUAGAUGAGAGCAGCAGUAUUUCGAAAUUUAUGUUUUUGCUGUACAGUAUGACAAAUUAUAAUGUUGUUUAUAUCUGUGAAAAGAAUCAGACCGUAUUUAGUUUGCAAAUCUGAUUUCAUUGAUCAUAAUUAAUAAUUAUCUUAAAGAUAUAUCGUCUAGCUCAAACCUUUGUAGGGGUAUGUGGCGGGACCAUCAUCAU